CCCUUAGAUGGUCUGGGCGGCACGCGCGCUACAAUGAUGCAUUCAAAAAGUCUUCUGACCUUAGAAGGUUGGGUAUUCUCCAAAGUGCAUCGUGAUGGGAAUAGUUUAUUGCAAUUUUUAAUCUUGAACGAGGAAUUCCUAGUAAGUACAGGUCAUCAACUUGUGUUGAUUACGUCCCUGCCCUUUGUACACACCGCCCGUCGCUCCUACUGAUUGAGUGUCUCAGUGAAUUCUUUGAUCUUCUGUCGAUUCAGUUCACUGAUCCGACGGUGGAAAGUUGAAUGAACUUCGUCACUUAGAGGAAGGAGAAGUCGUAACA
rnacentral:rRNA from 1 species